GGACCCGCACAAGCAGUGGAGCAUGUGGUUUAAUUCGAAGAUACGCGCAGAACCUUACCAACACUUGACAUGUUCGUCGCGAGCCUAAGAGAUUAGGCUUUUCAGUUCGGCUGGACGAAACACAGGUGCUGCAUGGCUGUCGUCAGCUCGUGUCGUGAGAUGUUGGGUUAAGUCCCGCAACGAGCGCAACCCUCACUUUUAGUUGCCAUCAUUAAGUUGGGCACUCUGAAAGAACUGCCAGUGAUAAGCUGGAGGAAGGUGGGGAUGACGUCAAGUCCUCAUGGCCCUUACGUGUUGGGCUACACACGUGCUACAAUGGUAUCUACAACAGGAAGCAAAACAGCGAUGUUAAA
rnacentral:rRNA from 1 species